rnacentral:rRNA from 1 species
AUUGAACGCUGGCGGCAGGCCUAACACAUGCAAGUCGAGCGGAUGAGGAAAGCUUGCUUUUCGAUUCAGCGGCGGACGGGUGAGUAAUGCCUAGGAAUCUGCCUGUUAGUGGGGGAUAACUCGGGGAAACUCGGGCUAAUACCGCAUACGUCCUACGGGAGAAAGUGGGGGAUCUUCGGACCUCACGCUAACAGAUGAGCCUAGGUCGGAUUAGCUAGUAGGUGAGGUAAUGGCUCACCUAGGCGACGAUCCGUAACUGGUCUGAGAGGAUGAUCAGUCACACUGGAACUGAGAUACGGUCCAGACUCCUACGGGAGGCAGCAGUGGGGAAUAUUGGACAAUGGGCGAAAGCCUGAUCCAGCCAUGCCGCGUGUGUGAAGAAGGUCUUCGGAUUGUAAAGCACUUUAAGUUGGGAGGAAGGGUAUUCACCUAAUACGUGGGUACCUUGACGUUACCAACAGAAUAAGCACCGGCUAACUCUGUGCCAGCAGCCGCCGUAACAC